rnacentral:piRNA from 1 species
UGUGGGACUGCUGAGGAUGGAACCGAC